UGAGUGUCAUGAAAUUCUCAACCUUUUCAGCUUUUUGUUGAAUAGGCUUGGAUUUUGGGAGUUGUUGCAGGCUGCUCAGAAGUCUGCUCUCCUUAAAUGUAUUAGCGGGGCCCUUGUUGUCUAGCAUUUGGUGUGAUAAUUAUCUACGCCAUUGUGAACAAUGUAAUAGGUCCGACCGGCUUCUAAUCGUCUCGUAAAGAGACAAUCUCCGACAUUUUGACCUCAAAUCAGGUAGGACUACCCGCUGAACUUAA
rnacentral:misc_RNA from 1 species